UGUAGGUUUACUAGAUUAUGUCAGUUUAUUUUCUAUCAGUCAAACUUUCAAGUUCAACUUGAUAGGCAUCAGUUCCUUCUCUAAGGAACUCCUUUCCAAAAGGAAUGCCCUACUGUUGAUGAGCAUCUUAUGUUCUUCAGUAUGAUAGAAUUAGUAACCCUUAAACACCUAUUGGAUCAAGAACCAAGUUUAUCUGUAUGCAAACCUU
rnacentral:lncRNA from 1 species